rnacentral:rRNA from 1 species
GAUGAACGCUGGCGGCGUGCUUAACACAUGCAAGUCGAACGGAAAGGCUCCUGCUUGCAGGGGUACUCGAGUGGCGAACGGGUGAGUAACACGUGGGUGAUCUGCCCUGCACUUCGGGAUAAGCCUGGGAAACUGGGUCUAAUACCGGAUAGGACCAUGGUUUGGAUGCCAUUGUGGAAAGUUUUUCGGUGUGGGAUGAGCUCGCGGCCUAUCAGCUUGUUGGUGGGGUAAUGGCCUACCAAGGCGUCGACGGGUAGCCGGCCUGAGAGGGUGUACGGCCACAUUGGGACUGAGAUACGGCCCAGACUCCUACGGGAGGCAGCAGUGGGGAAUAUUGCACAAUGGGCGCAAGCCUGAUGCAGCGACGCCGCGUGGGGGAUGACGGCCUUCGGGUUGUAAACUGCUUUCGCUAGGGACGAAGCGCAAGUGACGGUACCUGGAGAAGAAGCACCGGCUAACUACGUG